UACGUAGGGUGCAAGCGUUAAUCGGAAUUACUGGGCGUAAAGCGUGCGCAGGCGGUGAUGUAAGACAGGUGUGAAAUCCCCGGGCUUAACCUGGGAACUGCAUUUGUGACUGCAUCGCUGGAGUGCGGCAGAGGGGGAUGGAAUUCCGCGUGUAGCAGUGAAAUGCGUAGAUAUGCGGAGGAACACCGAUGGCGAAGGCAAUCCCCCUGGGCCUGCACUGACGCUCAUGCACGAAAGCGUGGGGAGCA
rnacentral:rRNA from 1 species